GACGAACGCUGGCGGCAUGCUUAACACAUGCAAGUCGACAAGAGUGGCGAACGGGUGAGUAAUGUAUCGGAACGUGCCUAGUAGCGGGGGAUAACUACGCGAAAGCGUAGCUACUACCGCAUACUAUUAGAGCGGCCGAUAUCGGAUUAGCUAGUGGGUGGGGUAACGGCUCACCAAGGCGACGAUCCGUAGCUGGUUUGAGAGGACGACCAGCCACACUGGGACGGAGACACGGACCAGACUCCUACGGGAGGCAGCAGUGGGGAAUAUUGGACAAUGGGGGAAAGCCUGAUCCAGCCAUGCCGCGUGUGCGAUGAAGGCCUUCGGGUUGUAAAGCACUUUUGGCAGGAAAGCGGUACCUGCAGAAUAAGCACCGGCUAACUACGUGCCAGCAGCCGCGGUAAUUC
rnacentral:rRNA from 1 species